rnacentral:rRNA from 1 species
UACGUAGGGGGCAAGCGUUAUCCGGAUUUAUUGGGUGUAAAGGGCGUGUAGGCGGGAAUGCAAGUCAGAUGUGAAAACUAUGGGCUCAACCCAUAGCCUGCAUUUGAAACUGUAUUUCUUGAGUGCUGGAGAGGCAAUCGGAAUUCCGUGUGUAGCGGUGAAAUGCGUAGAUAUACGGAGGAACACCAGUGGCGAAGGCGGAUUGCUGGACAGUAACUGACGCUGAGGCGCGAAAGCGUGGGGAGCAAACAGG